GAUGAACGCUGGCGGCGUGCUUAACACAUGCAAGUCGAACGGUCAAGGCGGAGGUUGGUCUGCUUGAUCAUUGGGGAACGCGGGAGUAACACGUGAGCAAUCUGCCCCUGACUCUGGGGGAAACGCUGGAAACGGCGGCUCUUAUUGGAGACGAUCUUCUAAGGCGUCUUCAUCAAAAGUAAAGAAUGUCGGUCAGGGAUGAGCUAGCGGGAUAUCAGCUUGUUGGUGAGGUAGUGGCUGACCAAGGCGUCGACGGGUAGCCGGCCUGGGAGGGUGACCGGCGACAAUGGGACUGAGACACGGCCCAGAAUCCUACGGGAGGCAGCAGUGGGGAAUAUUGCACAAUGGGCGAAAGCCUGAUGCAGCAACGCCGCGUGAGGGACGACGGCCUUCGGGUUGUAAACCUCUUUUAGCAGGGAAGAAGCGAAAGUGACGGUACCUGCAGAAAAAGCGCCGGCUAACUACGUG
rnacentral:rRNA from 1 species